UUAGCAGUUGCUACAACAAUCACUGUUGUCCUCCUGGUUAUCAUUUCCCUCUGUCUCUUCCUGUGGAUCAGGAAAAAGAGGGCUUCCAAGGAAUCGUCUGAGCCUGAAGAGAGACCAGACAACAGGGAACAGUUUCUACCUGAACAGCCAGAGGAGCAGGAUAACCUUCAGUAUGCCA